AAUUUCAUUUUAAUUUUUCAUUAGACCUGCGUACGUAAAGUGUGAUCGUGUGAAGUGCCAUUUAAUAGGUAUGGAAAGCGCAUAAUGAUUUAACGCAUAGUGUGAACCUCCACUUAGGAAUUUCUCAAAAUAUCACAAAAUUCAAAAAUUAACGUAAAAAAUACUUUUACAUACAGCUCUACAACAAGCCAGUAAAACAACUUGCCAGUACCAGCGCCAUCUAACGAGAGUUAACCACAUUAAAGCAAUAAAAAAGUGUCUCGACUAAAUGCUGUUAAACAAACGAAACACAACUCAAAACAGUAAACACAGCUACUUAGAAAAUUUUGACACAUUUUCAGUCGUCAAUUUGACAUCCGAGUGACAGUUCGUGUUUUGCUGAACAAUAUUUUUCUGGAGAAAAAUGAAUGAAGAAAAAUAUAAUAUUCCGCAAAAAGAAUUUACUUUUUAACCAAAUAAAUUCAUAAUAUUAUUGAAAACAAAAGUGAAAAAAAUAAGAAAACAAGUGAAAUAAAUAAAAAGAUAAUAUUUACAAUGAAUUUUUAAAGAAUUAAAACGAAUUUGUGUAGUUUUAGAAGAAAUCCCCCUUAAAAAAAAGUAAAGAGAAAAAAUUACCAACCAACCAAAAAAAAGAACAGGCAUAACAGAAUUUUUUGGGGCCAAAUAGACAAAAAAUAAAAUGUUAAAAAAAGAAAACGAAACGACAUAAGAAUACGGAAUAUCAAUGAAUAAAAUAAAGAAUAUUUAAAAAGAAAAUAAAAAUGAAAUAAGGAGCUGCAAUUAAUAAUUACAAAAAAAAAUACAAUUAUUAAAAUAUUUUUUUUCUUAAUAAUAGCUGGCAGAGGAGUAUGAGCCAGUGUGUGCCUGAUGGUGUGUGAGUGUGUGUUGAUAUAAGUCUCCAUAUGUGUGUGUGUGUGAAUGUUUUUGGCUGUGAGUAUCUGUGUUUGACUCUGUAUAUUCAAAUGUGCAAGUUAAGGAAUGUUGUGUGUGCAUAAUAAUACAACAAAAACAAAAAAAUAAUAAUAAUAAAUACACAAGACCAGAGAAAUGCAAUUAAAUUAAAAGAAGAAGCAUACGGCGCAGCAGCAAUACCAACAACAAUGUGAAAAAUAGAAAGAAAAAUAAAGAAAUUUUCAAAAAAAAAAAAAAAAGAAAAUAUAUAAAA